UUGAAUAAGGGUAUUGCAUCCAUUUAAGUUGAUCCUUUUUGACAUUUUUGUAAAUGGAUAGAAAAUUGCUCUCCACGGUCUUCGUUAGAGGAGGAUAAAUGUCACCUACAAGAUAUUUAAGGCGUUCAACUUUCAUGAAGGAAGUUUACAGUGCUAUGGUGAGCAGAUUAAUGCAGCAGGAAAAUUUGAUUCAUGGUGAGUCUCUGCUUAAUGUCCCGCUGCUACCAAACCUGUCAGUGAUGCUUUCCGACCACACCCCCACCUCUCAUCAUGAUGCUUAAUCCAAGGACAUGUCUGACUUCCGGGAAGGUAGUUAGCAAUCAUUGUCAGACAGCAACCUGAGACUUCUUGA